AAACCCCCUUCUCUCUCCCCCCUCCACGAGACCCCCUCUCUCGAGCUCUCUCAAUCUUGAAACCCCUCUCCCCCUCCCCCCCUCUUCUACGAAACCCCUCUCUCUCAGUCUCUCAAUCUCCUUGCUUAUAUUCUUUAUCUCCUGAAAUCCAAAUCCUCUUCAGCGAUGGACGAGAUAGAGUGCCCUAGAUCCACUUUCUCUCUCCUCCUCGCCUCCAAAUCCAAAGAGAUGCAGAAGACUCUUCAGUUUCUCCGAUUCUAUAGAAAGAAAGAAAACAAAACCUCUCUCGACCUUCUCAGUCAUCUUCUUCACCACUUUCUUAUACAAAACGAAUUUCAUGUGCCCUCCUCACUUCUAAUCCAAACCACUAAUUCAAUCCCUCAAUUUUCCCCAUUUUCCUCUCAAUUUUUCGAAAUCCAUACCAAAUUUUUCCUCAAUUGAAAAAAUCGGAUUGUGAAUUGAACGCUCUAGGGUUCUGAGUAAUCGAGCAACAGUGAGAUGAGCAACAACCCAGAGAGUUUAAAUUUCCGAUUCUUCUGGCGUUGAGACAGGUUGAGUCUAGCCAUCUGCGACUCGACUCGUUUGGGGAAUCUCGAGCCUCUCGUCGUCUCCGUCGAAGACCUCGAUGUGCAACAACAAAUUCAUUCUGUGCCGGUCGUUGUCCAGGCUCCACCAGUUUGGGCUGAACGACAAGGCGUCGCCGGUGAAGGAUGGCGGGAACGAGGCCUACGAGAGCAUUUUGAUGCCGAAUCUGGAUCAGCAAGGACACGUCCAGAAGGAAAAGAAAAAAGUCCAGACUUAAAAUUUUAAUUUGAUUUCAGUGUUGCUACAGAGAAGCAGAGCUUGAUGCCUGGAAAGCAUUCAAUAGAUGGACAUGUUGAAAACUCAGCUCGAUCUGUUUUCUGGGUUCUCAGUUUCAACUCCACCUUUCAGGAGAAGCAAAAGAAAGAGUAGCAAUGGAAAAGAUUUGGAUGAGAAAGGGAGAGAAGUGAACUCGAGUAUGCAUGUAGCAGAUUUUUCCAUUACGGAAUCAAAAAUCAACUGAUUUUCUCCACAAUCUACUGUGAUUAUAUACUCAGGUGGGAUUUCCUCCUGUAGUCUUCUAUUUGCUUGGCGGGAAAAGUUUGGAGCAAGAUUGAGGUUUCAUAGUUUUCUAAGAAAUGGGUAAUCGGAUAAAGGAAGAGGAGAAAAUUGAAAGAAUAAUUCGAAGUCUUUUAAAGCUUCCUGAGAAUAAAAGAUGCAUCAACUGCAAUAGUUUGGGACCGCAAUAUGUUUGCACGACCUUCUUGACAUUUGUUUGUACAAAUUGUAGUGGAGUGCAUCGGGAGUUCACUCACCGAGUAAAAUCAGUGUCCAUGGCUAAAUUCACUGCAGAAGAAGUAAAUUCUCUCCAGGCAGGGGGAAAUGAGUGAUGGUGCAGCUUCAUUGGUGCUAGUGAGUGGGGAAAAGGCACUUGAACUUGGGUUACAUGCUCUUGUUCUUCAUUCCUCGGGAAAACCAACCCCUUUGGUACUGUAUCAUGCUCUUCUGCUGCAAUAUGUGCUAACUCGUGAAGCUUCACAAUAAGCUUGGAGGUGAUGCAAAUGAGAAUAUAUAUAGUGCACAGGAUGCUUGAUAAAAUGGCACAAGAAGGUUUUGUUGAAGCGAAAAGAUAUUAUAUCAGCUUUUGAUUCAUGUGUAGCUAGCUAGGAAUGCUUUCUUGUUUGGUACAUUACCUAGUCACUUGAAUGUAUGGAUGUUUGAAAAAUGGUAAUGGAAUGAUAUGGAUUUGAGUA